GGCCAGACGGAGCCCAGAGUGCAUUCACCGCCCGGUUUCCCUGGCAACAGGCACCGCCCCAGGGCGCACCCGCGGCGCUGGGCUGCAGACUUCCUGGCGGCCUUGGCCCCAGCUCGGCUCAGCGGCCUUGGGAGAUUCGUCUUUCUAGUUUUCUUUUUCUAACUUUUGUCCCCACGGGAAAAAUCUGACUCCCGAGGAAGAACUUUACAGCUUCUCUUUGGUGUAUCUGAACUACUAGCAUCGCUAUUCUUGCACUUUGAGGCCAUGAUUAAAGAAGUGUUCCUUGAACAUCAGGCUGAAAUACCUUGACAAUGGAUCUGCCAGGCAAAAAGCUACUAAAUGACUAGUAGGCAGCCUUCACUCAGACCCAGCGCAGACAUGCGUGGCUAUUGCUCCAGCUGACCAGGAUGCUUUCCGAUUCUCAGGAAUCAGCCAAGUUGGGGUGUGAAUCCUAAUGCUGACAUCGGUAAGCAGCUGUUUGUGUUUGGCCGAAUUACACAACCUCUCUGAUCCUCCUUGUCUUCAUUUCUAAACUGAUGAUAAAAAGAGCUACAUGUUAUAGUUCAUUAUGAAGAUUAAACAAUAUAAUGCCUGAAGGAUGGUCAGUAUGGUGUUUGGCACAUAGUAAGACUCAGAAGACAUCAACUACUACUGCUGUUUAAUUGUUCAAGCCCAGGGACCAGCCCACUUUUUCUGUAGUGUUAGAUAGUUAAUGCCUGACACCUGUCGGUCCUUAGAGUUCUGUUGCUGCUACACAAUUCCACACUGCACAGGCAGCUGUAGAGAGCAGGAAAGAAAGGGACUGUAGUUUUGUUCCAGUGAAACAGUAUUCAUAAACAUCGAGAUCUGAGUUUUAUAUAACUUUCACAUACCACACAUUAUUUUUUUUUUAUUUUCUGCAAAUCCUCUAAAAAUAUGAAAACCAUUCUUAGCUCAUGGGCUGUCCAAAAACAGACACGGGCUGGACAUGGCCUAUAGGGCUUCACCCACUCCUGCUGGAGGCUAAUAAAAAAGUUGGCAUCUUGUGUCUUGGAUUUUGAUUAGGAAAAAUCCAGUUGGUCUGAAAAACCAGGUGUGGCUGUUAAGAUGCAAGCCAGGCUAACAAGGUAAUAAGCCAAUGCAAGGACUGAAGAACCUCACAAAAAGAUACCUACACUUACUCAUCCACAAGCCAAGAUAAGAGAGCAAUACCUCCCCUCGUACUUGUACCCAAGAUAAGAAAUGGAAGAGAUAAUCGGUCCCUUAGAUGCACAA